GACAGAGGGUGCAAACGUUGUUCGGAAUUACUGGGCGUAAAGCGCGUGUAGGCGGCGGCGUUAGUCGGAUGUGAAAUCCCUCAGCUCAACUGAGGAAGUGCAUUCGAUACUGCGUCGCUUGAAUGUCGGAGGGGAUGGCGGAAUUCCCGGUGUAGAGGUGAAAUUCGUAGAUAUCGGGAGGAACACCUGUGGCGAAGGCGGCCAUCUGGACGACGAUUGACGCUGAGACGCGAAAGCGUGGGUAGCAAACAGG
rnacentral:rRNA from 1 species